rnacentral:rRNA from 1 species
GGAGGCUUUGAAGUGUGGACGCCAGUCUGCAUGGAGCCGACCUUGAAAUACCACCCUUUAAUGUUUGAUGUUCUAACGUGGACCCGUGAUCCGGGUUGCGGACAGUGUCUGGUGGGUAGUUUGACUGGGGCGGUCUCCUCCUAAAGAGUAACGGAGGAGCACGAAGGUUGGCUAAUCCUGGUCGGACAUCAGGAGGUUAGUGCAAUGGCAUAAGCCAGCUUGACUGCGAGCGUGACGGCGCGAGCAGGUGCGAAAGCAGGUCAUAGUGAUCCGGUGGUUCUGAAUGGAAGGGCCAUCGCUCAACGGAUAAAAGGUACUCCGGGGAUAACAGGCUGAUACCGCCCAAGAGUUCAUAUCGACGGCGGUGUUUGGCACCUCGAUGUCGGCUCAUCACAUCCUGGGGCUGAAGUAGGUCCCAAGGGUAUGGCUGUUCGCCAUUUAAAGUGGUACGCGAGCUGGGUUUAGAACGUCGUGAGACAGUUCGGUCCCUAUCUGCCGUGGGCGCUGGAGAACUGAGGGGGGCUGCUCCUAGUACGAGAGGACCGGAGUGGACGCAUCACUGGUGUUCGGGUUGUCAUGCCAAUGGCACUGCCCGGUAGCUAAAUGCGGAAGAGAUAAGUGCUGAAAGCAUCUAAGCACGAAACUUGCCCCGAGAUGAGUUCUCCCUGAGACUUUAGGUCUCCUGAAGGAACGUUGAAGACGACGACGUUGAUAGGCCGGGUGUGUAAGCGCAGCGAUGCGUUGAGCUAACCGGUACUAAUGAACCGUGAGGCUUAACCUUACAACGCCGAAG